UUAAGCGACUAAGCGUACACGGUGGAUGCCCUGGCAGUCAGAGGCGAUGAAGGACGUGCUAAUCUGCGAAAAGCGUCGGUAAGGUGAUAUGAACCGUUAUAGCCGGCGAUGUCCGAAUGGGGAAACCCAGUGCAAUUCGUUGCACUAUCGUUUGAUGAAUACAUAGUCAAACGAGGCGAACCGGGGGAACUGAAACAUCUAAGUACCCCGAGGAAAAGAAAUCAACCGAGAUUCCCCCAGUAGCGGCGAGCGAACGGGGAGCAGCCCGGAGUCUGAAUCAGCUUGUGUGUUAGUGGAAGCGUCUGGAAAGUCGCAGGGUACAGGGUGAUACUCCCGUACACUAAAACGCACAGGCUGUGAACUCGAAGAGUAGGGCGGGACACGUGGUAUCCUGUCUGAAUAUGGGGGGACCAUCCUCCAAGGCUAAAUACUCCUGACUGACCGAUAGUGAACCAGUACCGUGAGGGAAAGGCGAAAAGAACCCCGGCGAGGGGAGUGAAAAAGAACCUGAAACCGUGUACGUACAAGCAGUAGGAGCCUCUUUAUGGGGUGACUGCGUACCUUUUGUAUAAUGGGUCAGCGACUUAUAUUCUGUAGCAAGGUUAAACCGUAUAGGGGAGCCGCAGGGAAACCGAGUCUUAACUGGGCGUUAAGUUGCAGGGUAUAGACCCGAAACCCGGUGAUCUAGCCAUGGGCAGGUUGAAGGUUGGGUAACACUAACUGGAGGACCGAACCGACUAAUGUUGAAAAAUUAGCGGAUGACUUGUGGCUGGGGGUGAAAGGCCAAUCAAACCGGGAGAUAGCUGGUUCUCCCCGAAAGCUAUUUAGGUAGCGCCUCGUGAACUCAUCUUCGGGGUAGAGCACUGUUUCGGCUAGGGGGUCAUCCCGACUUACCAACCCGAUGCAAACUACGAAUACCGAAGAAUGUUAUCACGGGAGACACACGGCGGGUGCUAACGUCCGUCGUGAAGAGGGAAACAACCCAGACCGCCAGCUAAGGUCCCAAAGUCAUGGUUAAGUGGGAAACGAUGUGGGAAGGCCCAGACAGCCAGGAUGUUGGCUUAGAAGCAGCCAUCAUUUAAAGAAAGCGUAAUAGCUCACUGGUCGAGUCGGCCUGCGCGGAAGAUGUAACGGGGCUAAACCAUGCACCGAAGCUGCGGCAGCGACACUAUGUGUUGUUGGGUAGGGGAGCGUUCUGUAAGCCGUUGAAGGUGGCCUGUGAGGGUUGCUGGAGGUAUCAGAAGUGCGAAUGCUGACAUAAGUAACGAUAAUGCGGGUGAAAAACCCGCACGCCGGAAGACCAAGGGUUCCUGUCCAACGUUAAUCGGGGCAGGGUGAGUCGACCCCUAAGGCGAGGCCGAAAGGCGUAGUCGAUGGGAAACAGGUUAAUAUUCCUGUACUCGGUGUUACUGCGAAGGGGGGACGGAGAAGGCUAUGUUGGCCGGGCGACGGUUGUCCCGGUUUAAGCAUGUAGGCGGAUGUUCCAGGUAAAUCCGGAACGUUACUAACGCUGAGGUGUGAUGACGAGGCACUACGGUGCUGAAGUGACAAAUGCCCUGCUUCCAGGAAAAGCCUCUAAGCAUCAGGUAACAUCAAAUCGUACCCCAAACCGACACAGGUGGUCAGGUAGAGAAUACCAAGGCGCUUGAGAGAACUCGGGUGAAGGAACUAGGCAAAAUGGUGCCGUAACUUCGGGAGAAGGCACGCUGAUAUGUAGGUGAAGUGGUUUACCCAUGGAGCUGAAAUCAGUCGAAGAUACCAGCUGGCUGCAACUGUUUAUUAAAAACACAGCACUGUGCAAACACGAAAGUGGACGUAUACGGUGUGACGCCUGCCCGGUGCCGGAAGGUUAAUUGAUGGGGUUAUCCGUAAGGAGAAGCUCUUGAUCGAAGCCCCGGUAAACGGCGGCCGUAACUAUAACGGUCCUAAGGUAGCGAAAUUCCUUGUCGGGUAAGUUCCGACCUGCACGAAUGGCGUAAUGAUGGCCAGGCUGUCUCCACCCGAGACUCAGUGAAAUUGAACUCGCUGUGAAGAUGCAGUGUACCCGCGGCAAGACGGAAAGACCCCGUGAACCUUUACUAUAGCUUGACACUGAACACUGGUCCUUGAUGUGUAGGAUAGGUGGGAGGCUUUGAAGUGUGGACGCCAGUCUGCAUGGAGCCAUCCUUGAAAUACCACCCUUUAAUGGCUGGUGUUCUAACGUGGGCCCGUUAUCCGGGUUGCGGACAGUGUCUGGUGGGUAGUUUGACUGGGGCGGUCUCCUCCUAAAGAGUAACGGAGGAGCACGAAGGUCAGCUAAUCCUGGUCGGACAUCAGGAGGUUAGUGCAAUGGCAUAAGCUGGCUUGACUGCGAGCGUGACGGCGCGAGCAGGUGCGAAAGCAGGUCAUAGUGAUCCGGUGGUUCUGAAUGGAAGGGCCAUCGCUCAACGGAUAAAAGGUACUCCGGGGAUAACAGGCUGAUACCGCCCAAGAGUUCAUAUCGACGGCGGUGUUUGGCACCUCGAUGUCGGCUCAUCACAUCCUGGGGCUGAAGUAGGUCCCAAGGGUAUGGCUGUUCGCCAUUUAAAGUGGUACGCGAGCUGGGUUUAGAACGUCGUGAGACAGUUCGGUCCCUAUCUGCCGUGGGCGCUGGAGAAUUGAGGGGGGCUGCUCCUAGUACGAGAGGACCGGAGUGGACGCAUCACUGGUGUUCGGGUUGUCAUGCCAAUGGCAUUGCCCGGUAGCUAAAUGCGGAAGAGAUAAGUGCUGAAAGCAUCUAAGCACGAAACUUGCCCCGAGAUGAGUUCUCCCUGACUCCUUGAGAGUCCUGAAGGAACGUUGAAGACGACGACGUUGAUAGGCCGGGUGUGUAAGCGCAGCGAUGCGUUGAGCUAACCGGUACUAAUGAACCGUGAGGCUUAACCUU
rnacentral:rRNA from 2 species